GCAUGAGUACAGGGUCCCUUUUAGCUUGAUCUAGGCUUAAUACUCUAUUAUAGCAUGAAAUCCCUUAUUUUCCACCCGGAUGAACAGUAACCCGGACCGACAGCCGGUUACUUCAUCCCGAGUUUGAUCCACUUUCCAGACUCCUAAUUUGAUGAAUUUUUACCUAACAUUCUACACUCAUAGGGGAUUCCAAAAAGGUAACAUGCAUCACUAUCGGAGGCCGUUUGACCCCCU
rnacentral:lncRNA from 1 species